CGGCAACAGCUCAAAUUUGAAAUCUGGCUUCGGCCCGAGUUGUAAUUUGUAGAGGAUGCUUUUGGUUAUGGUCCUUCUGAGUUCCCUGGAACGGGACGCCAUAGAGGGUGAGAGCCCCGUACAGUUGGACAUUAUGCCUUUGUAAAGCUCCUUCGAC
rnacentral:rRNA from 1 species